rnacentral:rRNA from 1 species
GAUCCCAUCAGAACUCCGAAGUUAAGCGUGCUUGGGCGAGAGUAGUACUAGGAUGGGUGACCCCCUGGGAAGUCCUCGUGUUGCAUCCCUCGGAUGCGAUCAUACCAGCACUAACGCACCG